CCCGAGCAGGGACACUGCCAUCCUCGCCUGUGACAUGAGCAGGGACCGCCUGCUGUCAGCUCGACCUUGCACAAGGGACCAACAUCUGACUGCACAUGGAGCUGGAUAAUUAGCAAAGCCCCCAGGAAUUUCUAUCAUGGCCCUCAGGAUGAGAAGAAGCAGAACUGCUGGAGACCCUCUUCGACCUUUUCCAGAGAUUUUAUGGCUGUGAAACCAUGGGAGAUGUUGUGUGCACCCAUUCAUUCUCAGUGGGAUCCUAGCAGUCUCCUAAAGUCUCCUAAUCCAGACAAGUAAAGUGAAACCAACACAAGUUUGCAGAGCGGCUUGAUUUUGACAGGGCUGCAUUUUCCAAUGGAAAGCUGCUCCGAGGUUUUCCAACCAGCUCCACCAGGAACAGGUGUCGCAGGAUCGCAGCGACCUUCCCUUUGGCAAACUGCUGCAUUAGAAGCAAGAUCCUGGAUGAGCACAAGGCACGAGGGGGCAGGGGACACCCCAGGAAGGCUGGGAACCUGGUGCCUGAGUCACCUCUGGCUGCAUCUCAACGCAUCCCACCUUCCGCAGCACGGCUGCGCCUGGGGACUGAACUGGCAGUAGCAACUGUGGGGGAUUUUAGGGGGAAGAACCUUAGUGUGUAGGCACGGUUGCAUCUCUCAGCACUGCGACUUCCCUCUCUGCCAUCUGAGUUGAGAAGCAACAGAAAGAAGGAGUGCCCUGAGGCUGGCGUAAAUCCCAGUUCAGGAUGGGGAGCUUCUAGCGAGGCCCGGAG
ensembl:lncRNA